rnacentral:snRNA from 1 species
GUGCUCUCUUCAGCAGCACAUAGACUAAAAUUGGAACGAUACAGAGAAGAUUAGUAUGGCCCCUGCACAAGGAUGACACGCAAAUUCAUGAAGCGUUACAUAUAUAU